rnacentral:rRNA from 1 species
GUGGGGAAUUUUGGACAAUGGGCGCAAGCCUGAUCCAGCAAUGCCGCGUGCAGGAAGAAGGCCUUCGGGUUGUAAACUGCUUUUGUACGGAACGAAACGGUCCGGGUUAAUACCCUGGGCUAAUGACGGUACCGUAAGAAUAAGCACCGGCUAACUACGUGCCAGCAGCCGCGGUAAUACGUAGGGUGCAAGCGUUAAUCGGAAUUACUGGGCGUAAAGCGUGCGCAGGCGGUUUUGUAAGACAGGCGUGAAAUCCCCGGGCUCAACCUGGGAACUGCCUCCAAAACUGCAUGACUAGAGUACGGUAGAGGGUAGUGGAAUUUCCUGUGUAGCGGUGAAAUGCGUAGAUAUGCGGAGGAACACCGAUGGCGAAGGCAAUCCCCUGGGCCUGCACUGACGCUCAUGCACGAAAGCGUGGGGAGCAAACAGGAUUAGAAACCCCAGUAGUCC